UCACAUUCACUCACACUCACACUCAUACUCACAGAUGUAUAUAUUACACAUAUAUGCGUGUUGUGUACGGACUAAUGUGUGUAUAUAUAUACACAUAUAUACGAUAUGUAUAUACUAUGUAUACAGUUGCUUGCUUUUAGUUAUAUACAAUUAUCAAAGUAUAUACGCACGUAUAUGUGCACGAAUGUACAUUCCAUGUACUUAUUAGUAGUUUAUAUUUAUAUAUAGUGUGUAUAGACACGAUAUCCAUAUACUGAUAUGCUUAUACGUUUAUGUAUAAACUUGCUUUCAGUUAUAUAUACACUGAUAUACAUACAUAUAUGCACCCUUACGCAUUGAUAGUGCUUACCUAUAUUUUUAUAUAGACAGAUAUAAAUGACCAUAUGGACACUUUUUAUCAGUUUUUAUAGUUAUUAGCGUAUAUGUACGCUGAUAUAUAUAUACGUACAUUCAUAUUCAUGUGUUUAAAGGGUUUAUAUAUACACUAAUGUAUAAGACCAUGUAUAUACUUAUUGUCAGUGAUAUAUAUACGUAUUGAUGUAUAACAAUAUAUACCGUUGUUUUCGGUGUGUAUAUAUAUACUCACACUAACACUCAUACUCACACUCACACCAACACUCAUAUUCACACACUCACACUCACUCAUUCACACACACUCACACUCACUCAUUCACACUUACACACGUAGACACUCACACCCACACUCACACUUACACUUACACUUACACUUACAUUCACUCACUCACACCCACACUCACCCUUACACUUACACUUACAUUCACUCACACACACACCUCACACACACACAAUCACACUAACACUCACACUCUCAGAUAUAUAUACUAGACAUAUGUGCGUGUUAUAUAUUGACUGAUGUGAGUAUAUAUAUAAACUGAUGCAUUUAACCUUUCAAUAUAUAUUGAUAUAUGCACUUAUUAUCAGUUUAUACAAUUAUCAACGUAUAUGUACCCUGAUUUAUAUACUACACACCACACACUCACAUUUACACACACACACACUCACUCACACUCACAUUUACAAACAUACAUACACAUUCACACUCACACUCACACUCAAAUAUAUAUACUGCACAUAUAUACGUGUUGUGUGUGGAGUAAUGUAUGUAUUUAUAUGAUAUGUAUAAACUGAUAUGUUUAUGUCUGUAUGUAUGUAGUUGCUUUCUAUCUGUUAUGUACAAUUAUCAAUGUAUAUACACUGCUACGUGCAUGUACAUGCACCCUUACGCUGAUGUGUAUAUAUAUACGGUAUGUAUGUACUGAUAUGUUUAUGCGUGUAUGUUAUAUUUGCUUGCUAUCAAUUAGAUACAAUUAUCAAAGUAUAUAUACAUUGGUAUACACAUCCAGGCACCUUUAGGCGUUGAUAAGUGCAUCUAUACUGUGUAUGUGUACACUAAUAGAUG
rnacentral:lncRNA from 1 species